CAUUGUAGGUUAUAAUAAAAAUGCUGAAUCUGAAGGUGUCAAACAAGAUGCUAAAUUAAUGAAUGCUUCUGAAAUCGGUAAGAGGUUCUUCACAUCCUACUCUUUUUCUCUUGGGUACAAUUUUUUUUAGUAAUUAAAGCUUUUUAAUGUGUGUUCAGUCCAGGUUCUACGAAUUGGGAAGAGGUGGAAGAGUUUCAAAGCCAGAUGUAAGGUAACUCUGUCUAUAUAUGUGUUAUUAGAAACCAUGGACCGUUUGCUUGGAGUGAUAUUUUUCAAGAACAUUAGUAUCUAAAGAGUUUUUUGGCGCAUCUAUAUAUUAACCGUUUCCCCCACGAACUAACAUUAACGUUGUGGCCAUACAAGUCCAUGCUGUUUCCUGAGAAAGCCCCCCCAAGAACAUUAGUGAUGAUUUCUGUUUCCUGAGAAAGUCCAUGCUAAAUGUAGGACAAACAUCAACGUUGUGGCCAUACAAGUUUCCUCAGUUAAUUAUUUGUUUAUCUGGUAGAGCAGCAGUGUAACCACAACAUAUGGUGUGGCACUGAAAAUAUGUAGUAUGACCCCAGAAGGAAUAAUGAGACAAUCUUUUCGACCUUACAAUUUACAAAUAAGAAAUUGGGACCAUUGAGUUCUCUAUGCCAUUGAGCUCUAUAUAUAGUAAGUGUAAGGUAACUCUGUCUAUAUAUGUGUUAUUAGAAACCAUGGACCGUUUGCUUGGAGUGAUAUUUUUCAAGAACAUUAGUAUCUAAAGAGUUUUUUGGCGCAUCUAUAUAUUAACCGUUUCCCCCACGAACUAACAUUAACGUUGUGGCCAUACAAGUCCAUGCUGUUUCCUGAGAAAGCCCCCCCA
rnacentral:lncRNA from 1 species